ensembl:ncRNA lncRNA:CR46231 long non-coding RNA:CR46231
GGUUAAGCUUACCCGUGUUGCCCUGACAGUUUACAAGUUAUUCAAACGCAAAUGUUUAACAAUAAGCAAAUAAUUCUCUGUGCACAUGUCACACAAAUCAAAGAGCCGGCAAGAAGGAGGCAAAAUCGAGGGAUUGUGGACUGCUCGCUCCGUAGCUGGCCAACUCCCAAGGGGCCAACUCCAUUUCGGCUAAGCAAACUCCAUUCGAAUUCUAUGCAAAUCAAAGCGAACUGCGUAAUGAGCCGCAACCGUAACCAAAAACGAGGCGGGAAUCGAAGUUUGCGACUACUCAGUGCCCCGCUGUUUGCCACUUGACUUACAUGUGUUUGCCGCUGAUUGCUUUAAUGGGUCAGCACUGUACCAGUUGGGACAUACACACAGAAGUGUGUGUGUGUGUGUUGCACUAACGGUAAACUGGUUUCGAUGACAUGGCGCAUAACACCCCAGUAUAUAUAUAUAUAUAGUACCCGUACUCGAAUAUCUGUACAAAUGCCAAUUGCCCAAUGUUUCACUGACCCGCUCCACACGUUCAUCGCCCGUCGUUUUCGAUGGGCUCAUGACAUAUUAGCAAAGGUUUUUGCCCCACUGCCAGCCAUUUAUGACUCGAAUGCUGGCCGCUGAUUUCAUUUAGGGCCAGGCCAAGCUAAUCGCAAGCAUUUCUGUUCGCAACUUGCCGCUCGCCAGUCGGCAGUUGCAACAUCCAUGGCGGUGUGUCACGAUCCUGAAGGCGAGGAAAUCAAACGAAAUAAAAGUCGACUGGGGGCUCAGCACAUGUGAUGGAAU